rnacentral:rRNA from 1 species
AAGCGGUGGAGCAUGAGGUUGAAGUCGACGGCAACGCGAAGAACAUUACCUGGACAGGACAUCGCGGGAAGUCCGUGGAAAGACGGGAGUGCCAAUAACGAGGAAUCCGAGGACAGGAGCAGCAUGGCAGUCGUCAGCUCGAGUCGUGAGAUGUUGGGCUAAGUCCCGCAACGAGCGCAACCCCUAUCUUCAGUUACCAUCAGGUGAUGCUGGGGACUUUGGAGAUACUGCCCCGGUUAACGGGGAGGAAGGUGGGGAUGACGUCAAGUCCUCAUGGCCUUUAUGUCCAGGGCUACACACGUGCUACAAUGGUAUGUACAAAGGGAAGCGAUCCCGCGAGGAGGAGCUAAUCCCAAAAAGCAUAUCAAAGUUCGAAUCGGAGUCUGCAACUCGACUCCGUGAAGUUGGAAUCGCUAGUAAUCGCGGAUCAGCAUGCUGCGGUGAUACGUUCCCGGGCCUUGUACACACCGCCCGUCACACCAUGAGAGUUGGCUGUACCAGAAGUCGUUGGGCUAACCCGCAAGGGGGGUACGCGCCUAAGGUAUG